AGGGCCGGGAUGCGGUGCAGUGUUGUGCGUCUCCUACCAAUAUUGCACUCGUCCCGGCCUCC
rnacentral:pre_miRNA from 1 species